CGCCAUCUUUGACAAUGGUGCAGCAAUGCCAUCUGACGAUAGAGGUAGUGAAUAGCUGAAAGGGUGUAAAAAUGAGACCCAAGAUUGUCUUUCUAUCUUCGUUCGUUUCCAAUCUUCGAGCGUACUGUCGAGUGUCGAGCCGACUGUCGCGAGUGUGUGUAAUGUCGACAAGAAUGUUGACGUUUAAUUCAGCUCGUCGGAAGCAACGAAUACGCGUCGUGAUAGCCUCGUGAAUAAUGUCAAUGGAUUCCUCGUAACUUAUUGCACGCAGACGUAAUAAUGUUACGCACUGUGGGGUUCACAUAAACUCGUAGACUUCAUGAACGAACAAUCGUCGUACGCGCGAGGGCUUUGGCUCGAACUGUGACGCGCCAUAUUGGUUUAAGAGAAUUGUUCAUAUUAGUGAGCUUUGGGUGAAUCAAUUUUAUUGCAAAUGCACAUAGUAUAAUAAAGUUCCAACAAUGGAAGAGACUAAAAUCAUAUAUCAUAUUGACGACGAAGAAACUCCUUACUUAGUAAAGCUUACCAUCUCGCCGGAAAGGGUCACUCUUGCCGACUUCAAAAAUGUCUUGAAUCGACCGAAUUAUAAGUAUUUCUUCAAAUCUAUGGACGAUGAUUUUGGUGUGGUGAAAGAAGAGAUUGUAGAUGAUGAUGCCCAUCUUCCCUGUUUUAAUGGACGAGUUGUUUCUUGGUUGGUUUCUGCUGAAGGCAGUAAUGUGUCAGAUGGUGCUUCACAAUGCACAGAUUCAGUAGCACAUAGUGAGGCAAAACAUGAUCGUGUUGAUCAUGUGACACCUGGUCACACAAAUCGUGGUCCACCUCCUUUGUCACAUGAUGACACUUUAACUGAAACUGAAAGUAUUACAAGUAGUCGACAAGGGCAUCAUUUACAUAAAAGUUCAAGACAUCAUUCAGAUAAAUAUGAGAAAUAUAAUAAAUAUAAUGGACUUCGUAUAAAUGGUCAUUCAAAGCACAGAUCAGGCCAUGGUUAUGAGACUGCUUCUAUUUUAAGUUCAGAUUUAGAGACAACAACAUUUUUAGAAUCAGAUGAUGAUGCCAGUAGCCGUAUAACAUCAACUACAGGCAGACAUACCAAUAUGAGUAGUACAGUUGACAGAGCAACUUUAGAGCGGCGUAGACCACAGAGAAGAAGGCGUCAUAGAUUGCCACCUAUGUCUAGAACAUCAUCUUUUAGCAGUAUCACAGACAGUACAAUGUCCUUAAACAUCAUAACAGUUUCAUUGAAUAUGGAUACUGUUAAUUUCCUUGGGAUUAGUAUUGUUGGACAAAGUAACAAAGGUGGAGAUGGUGGCAUUUAUGUAGGUUCAAUAAUGAAAGGGGGUGCAGUUGCUUUAGAUGGACGAAUAGAACCUGGUGACAUGAUCCUUCAAGUAAAUGAUAUUAAUUUUGAAAAUAUGUCUAAUGAUGAAGCAGUUAAAGUACUACGUGAAGUAGUUCAGAAACCAGGACCAAUCAAAUUAGUUGUUGCAAAGUGCUGGGAUCCUAAUCCUAAAGGCUAUUUUACAAUACCACGUACAGAACCUGUACGGCCUAUAGAUCCUGGUGCUUGGGUAGCACAUACAGCUGCUAUAAGGGGAGAAGGUUUUCCUCCGCGCCCGCCAAGUGCUACAACAUUAACAUCAACAUCAAGCAGUCUUGCAAGUACACUGCCAGAUACAGAACGACCAUUAGAAGAACUUCAUCUUACGGUGAAUACAGAUAUGCCAACAAUAGUGCGAGCGAUGGCUCGACCUGAUUCAGGAUUGGAAAUUCGUGAUCGUAUGUGGCUUAAAAUAAUAAUACCAAAUGCAUUUAUUGGAGCAGAUGUUGUGGAUUGGCUUAAUACUCACGUAGAAGGAUUUAUUGAUCGACGCGAUGCAAGAAAAUACGCAUCUCUUAUGUUAAAAGCUGGUUUUAUUAGGCAUACAGUAAAUAAGAUAACAUUUUCCGAGCAAUGUUACUAUAUAUUUGGUGAUUUGUGUUCAGCUAUGAGUAGCAUGAAACUAGAUUGCGAUACAGUCGGACCAUUACCUCCGCCGAAUGCCUGGGACAUGCCUUAUUCAGGAACAUAUGCACCUCAUUCUGCAACUGGUUAUAGUCCAAUGCCAUUUAAUUUCACUAAUGAACCAACUGUAUAUGGUUAUCACCGAGAAGAAAGUGUUCAUAGUGGAUCAGGAGGCAGUAGUGCAGGUAGUGAACACAUUUGCAAAGAACCUAUUCACGAUUUGAAAUCCUGUUCUUCAGCAUCUGAAUCUGAAUUACAUAUUCCAUCAGUGCCAACUAUGCCAAAUAAAAAUUCUGGCAAUGGAAAUGGUUCAAAUGGAAAGAGAUCUAAUGGUAGUCGCAGUCGUUCCAGUGGUUCUGAACAAUCUGUGCAGACAGGAACUGGUUCAGGGAAUCAACAGAACCAACAAGACUUAUCUGGAUUGUCUACGACAAUGGGGCAGCUAUUUCUUUAAAAUCGAGAGGAUAUUGUUUCGAAAUGUUAAAAGAUUCACUAAUUAUUACUUGUCAAAUUCAUUUUUUUUAAGAAUAAUUUGCUUUAAAAGAAAGGAAAACAAAAGAAAAUACAUAUAUAUGUACAAAGAAUAUAUGCAAUACAAAUACUAUUGUAUAUUGAGUAAUUAUUAGUGAAUCGUUUAAAAAAACAUUGUCCAUGCGUAAAGGACAAAUUUUUAUUGUAUUCCUACUAAUUCAAGUUAUUUGAUGAUGACAAAAAAAAUUGUUCACAAUUAUGUUAUGUGGUAUUGCAUCACAGGUUCGACAAUAUGUAAAUAGAUCGAAUUAUGCUCAUAUUAAAUGUGCCAUCUUAUCAGUGUUAGAAAAUACUGAAGAAACUGCGACUUAUAAUUUAUAUAUACAAGCUUCCCAGGUGUAUGCAUUUCUUUAUUGUUUAUGUUCAUUGAUGUCAUUUUAUCUUACGAAUUAUUACAAAUUAUUAUAAAUUAUCUUCUGCAUCUCACACACACACAAGCUUAUUUAAUUUCAACAAACAUUUGUUACAUUUAAUUGCGUCUUGCCGUUGCGUUAUUAUUAUAUAAAUUUUUAUUUAGUAUAUCACGUUGUAUCGAAAUAAUAUUCUUUUUAUAAAAUGCCGCUAGAAAAUAUUUGCAUUCGAUGCACAUCAAUUGGCGUUAUAAUUAUUAUAAGAAUAAUUUCAAAUAUGGUGCAAUGUUUCUUUUGAACAUUUCAACAUUGAGAAAAAAAGAAAAAGAGCAGUUUAACAAUUUUUAUUAUUUUUUUUUGUAUCGAUUUUACUACUUUUUAUAUUUAUAUGAACUAUUUACUAUUACUUUCUUAAUAUUUAUAAAACAUAUAGAACAUAUGUUAUAUUAUUGAUAUUUUUUAUAACAUGAACCAUGUUUGAAAAUUUAGUCGAUUAAUCAUCCGUGCAAUUUUCCAAAAAUAAUAAUUAAAAUUCUUUUGCUUUACUUUUUCUUCGGCAUCUUAUAAUUAUCCAUAAAUAGAUUCACUUUUUAUAUAUGUAUCUGUCUCUAGAGAAUAAUAUAACGGUAUUAUAUAUCGCAAAAAAUUUUUUACCAGUUUGAUAAAGCACAUAAUACAUUGUAUAGCAAAGAUUUUAUUGGAAAAUUGCGCACUGGCAUUUAAUCAUUAAUUUCAAUGAACGUUUUCAUUUUGCUGCAAAUAAUUAUGUAAUUCAAUAUUUAAGAAGGUAGUUUACAAAAAACUGGUUUACCGAUAUCAUUACGGUAUCAAUUAUUAUAUAUUAUUCUGUAAAAUAUAUACAUAUUUUAUGUUGCAGACAGGUUGUACAGUAUGUUUGAGAAAUGCAAAAUUAUUAUUUACAAGAUGACGUAAUUUCAUCAUGACCAUCGCCUGAUUUUUAGAAAGAUGAUAAGAAAUGCAAAUUAAAAAAAAAAAGUGAAAAUAUAAAUUUUGCGAUUCACAGACAUACUUUUAACUUGGUUUAUUUUAUUUUUUAUUUAUUGUGCCGCUCUAAAAGGACGUGCUGCUUUCUGUCUAACAAAUGACUCAAUUUCCUUUGCAACUUACGUUGUGCGCAUGUGGAUUACACCGUGUCAAAGACGUAAUCGAGUCAUUUUUGUGCCUUGUGCUGCGCUGGCGAUUGAUGCAGAGCGGCGUAUGCACGAGGAAACUCGUACACAGACUAGCGAUUUGGACAACAAUAGCAGAGACAAUAUCUAUGAAGAAGACAUUUUGGAGUACCAGUUUCUGCACAAGUGAAGAUACUUGUUAAUGCAAUAUGUAUACGUAACAAUGGUAAUAGGAGUUAAAAAAAAAAAAGGAAAUUAAGAUAUAUUUCCACUUGAAUUAAGUGGAUGGAAGUAGCAAACGCGAGACACAUAUAUAUAUAUAUAUAUAUUUAUAUAUAUAUUUAAUAGACGAAUUUUGAUAAAGCGUCAUAGAAAAUAAAAAAAUCUAAACUAUCAUAUAAUUUGUAAUGGCUAUACAUAAAAGAAGAAGAUAGAUUUAAGGCCAUCGAAUUUCCAUUGGUAUUUAAUAUCAUUCAAGAAUAUGUAUAAUGCAAUCUAUGUAGAAUAUUAAUAUAUUCAUGAGAUUUCAGAAAGUCAAUUCUAAAGAAAAAAGAUACUAUAAUUGAUAUACAAAAUUGUCGGUUGAGGUUCAUUUAUUAACUUAUAACUUAAAGUUUGGAUUAGAUAGAAUGAAAUUUACCUACAUUUCGCUUCAUCUAAUAAAAACUUCAACUUUUUAAUAAAUAAAUCUCAACGAACAUUUUUGUUUUAGUUUCUAGAAUCGACCAAUCAAAAGUAUCUCAUAAGUAUAUUAAUAUCCUGGAUAAGAAAAAGAAAAUACGAUGGCGAAAAAGCGUGCUUUUUUAACGCAGGGUGCAUGUAGAUUGAAAAAAAGAAUCCUUCUUAACUCCAUAUAUGUGUUUUAUCGAUAAUAUUCUUGUCCUACUUUUUCUUCCUUAACUUAAAGUAAUCAUGACUAUAUUCUCUAUAUUCUCUUAUAUUUGACAUGUAUUUUUUUACUUUAUUUGUUAAUGCAAAAAAAUAAUAGACUUUUUGAAUUGAUAAUUUUUACUUACAGUAUUGAAAUUUUUCGUUUUUUAUAUAUUUUAGAUUUUUCCUUCUUGAAUAUAUUCAUUCUCAUGUCAUAAUAUGGCUGUACUUUUAAUUAUACGGGUAUAUAAACAUCAAAUUUAUGAAAUGCAAAAUGAAGAUUUUGCAUAUAUUGAUUAAAUAAAAAAGAGAAAGGAAAUGAGGUGAAGGAGCAAAAAGUGUCAGUAAUAAAAGAUGAUAUUCGCAAAAUUCCUGAUUUAUUAGUACAACUUAUAACUGCAAGUAUGUCUGUAAUCAAGUGUUAAUUCAUGCUAUGAAAAUUAAUUAGUAUGAAGCAUAUUAUACAAAUGUUGCAAGUAUUAUUGUUUUUACUUGAAUUUUACGCUUAAAUGAAGGAAAAAAGAAAAUUUUAAAUUUUUGUAAUUAUAAAUAAUACAGAAUACUUUAUAUAAAAAUAUUAUAUUCGAGUUUUCGCGUUAAUUCUCAAAUAAAUAAAUUACAGAAUAUACAAAAUAUAAUUAACAAUAUUUUUUCACGUUAUUCUUCUAAUUUAACACUAUGCUUUGUUGAAUUUGCUUUAUACUAAAUAAUUGAGACACAUUAUAUAUGUAUGAUUUUAUUUUUCCAUACUACUUUAAUCAAUUUUACUCGUUAAGGGAAGGCAAUACGUAAAUAAAUUGUAAAGAUAGGAUUGUAUAAUUGGUGAAACACCUUUUUCUCCUUUUUUGUGUGCAAGUUUAUACGAAUAAGUGUGAUAAUAUUGCAUUAUCGUGUGCAACCACGAGUCUUCUCCCUCACUAUUUAAAAAUUUAAAGGAAGAAAAAAAAAGAAGUAAACCUCGACGAGUCAAUAUGAAUCGAAUAAAAGUUUACUCAUUGAGAUGCAUUCGAAUGCUAUUCUGACUGAAGUAUUUUAAUGUCACUUAGAGUACCAUAGUACAAGGCGACAAGAUAGUCAAUCGAUAUCGCAUUUACAGACAAGAUAGUUCAUUCCUUGUAUUUUUUAUCCCUUUGCGAGACAAAUGUUUGCGGACUUUUUUAUUAAAGCUAUGACCACGUACAUGUAUCGUGUCGUCGAUACCCUAUUUGCGAUGUUCAACGAUUUUUACACUAUUUAUUAUAAUUAUGUGAGAUUAAGAAAUUUGUAACAAAAAAAAAAAAAA